AGCUGGGCUUGGGGACGGCCCAGACCCCACCCCAGUGCUUGGGGGCAAGAGGAGGCUAGUGACUCAGCAGGGGGGAAUUAUUCAGUUAACCAAGGAGCCCUUGGUCCUCCAUCGAGGGGCCUGCGCGGGCUGCGGAGGUGGCGGGCCUCCUACGUGCGUGGGAGGUAAUCCUUAGGUAUUUGGUAACUAACGCCGGGGAGGCGGGGACGAGAGGGCCAGCUCGGCGCAGGGUCAGCGGAGGAUGUGGUCAAAGGGGAGCCGGCCACCCCCACCUCCAGAAACUAAGAAGCCAGGGGCCUGCAGUUUCCAUCUUGUCACAGACCUUCACUGACCCCUGACUGCCUACAGGACAAAGCCCCAGCUGCUAGGGCUGGCUCGGAAGCCUGCCACCAGCCGGUCCCUCCCCACCACGGCCUUCUCACGAAACUUAACCGGAGGAAAAAAAUGCUUGGGGCGCCUGGGUGGUUCCGUCAGUGGACAUAUCGGUUCAUUUUAAUCACUCACUAACGGAGUCAAGGCCAACGGGAGGGAAUGCGACACCCAACAGGUGGGUUUGCCGUGCGCGGUGGGGAAGGCAGCUGUGUGAGUCUGCUCAGAUGCCAUGAAGGAUGCGGGCAAAGGCGCAUCUGUGACGUCCCCAGGGACAACUUCCUGAGUAUCUGCUGAGCUGCCCGCCCCUCAGGCCACAGCAUUUGCUGAGCACCUGCCCAGGAAGGCCCGGAAGAGGGGAGGAAGCAGGCGAGAGCUCGGUGUUAAAGCAGAGAGUGAGGAGGCAAUAAAGGAGAAAGAAAAGGUCUUCCUUUUCCGAGGGCCUGGCGCACCCCUCCUCCAGAGCGUCCUGCCACGGCCCCCCCGCACUGGAGCCCAGACACAGCCCCUCGUCUCCAUGAAUCCCCCACGGCUGUCAAACACCAGCUCCCUCCGCCCACAGCUGUCUCUGAGUCCCAGCAGACCGUCCUAGAUCUCCGGGGCCUUCCCUUGCCUCGUCCAGACCCACACGUCCAUCCGGGGACCAGCUCAGUCCUGCUCCCAGAGAAUCGGUCAGCAUAGGAGCCCCGAGGAUGAGGAUCCAGCCUCUUGCCCUGGACUCCUCUGGACCUUCUACUGCACAGAUAUCCAGCCGAACCUGUCCGUCCUCCCUCCAGGCCAGCCUGGCUUUGCACAGAACCCCCCCCCCC